UCCAAGGUUUUAUUCCAGCAGCAAGCAGAACACCCGGGGGAGGCCCAGACCCCCCAGUUCCCACCCCCUGUCCAAGAGGGGACAAUGGGGGCGUUGGAGCCCCCCGGGGGAGACUGGCCCUGGCACUGGCCCAGGUUGUCAGCAGAGGGUGCCUGGUGUCCUGUGGGGAGCUGGGGACCCCCGGGAAGGGGGCCAGGACGGAGGGGGGGCACACCAAGGGCGGGGCUCAGCAGGUCAGGACAUGGGGGACCCCCACAGGAACGGGGGGACCUCCCAGGAAGGGAAUGGGCUCAGCUGGCCUGGACAAGGCGGAUUCCCCACCAAAGAUCCCCCCAGGACAUGGACAGGACCUCCCAGGAAAGGGGACUCAGGGGACUCGGGUAGCCUGGGCUUGGGGGGACCCCUCCGACAGGAAAGAGGGGACCUGGAGGGGGGGCUCAGCAUGUCAGGACAUGGGGGGACCCUCCCCCCCACCUCAGAAAAGGGGGUUCAGCUGGGGACGAUAUGGGGGAACACCCUGAGAAGGGGAGGCCCAGGGGUCUCAGCUGGGCUGGACAUGAGGGACCCUCCAAGACACAGAGUGACCCCCAGGAAAGGGGGAGGGCUCAGCUGGGCUGGACAUGGGGACCCCCUCUCAGGAAAGGGGGUUUGCUCGGCCAGGACUUACGGGGACACCCUGGGGGGACAGGGAACGUGGAGGAGCCCCCUGGAAAGGGGGGGUUCGGUUUGUGUGAGCAUGGGGGACACCCCAGAAAGUGGGGCCCAGGGGGGCUCAGCAGGUCAGGAUUUAGGGUUUGCUCAGGAAAGAGGGGGCUCAGCGCAGCCAGCCAAGCCCAGGCUUGGGAGUCCCUCAGGAAAGGGGGUUCAGCUUUCCAGGACGUCGGAGGACUCGGACACGAGCUUCCCGUCGCGGGUCUCAAUCUUCUUGAUGACGAUGGCCCGGGAUUUGAGGGGGGCCGUGCUCUCGGGGGGUGGGGGCGGCACCGAGUACCCUGAGCUGACGAAGGCCCCCCCGAACGUCCCCCCAAAUCCCCUCCCAAAACCUCCCCCGAGUCCA
ensembl:lncRNA